CCCCUAGAUGUUCUGGGCCGCACGCGCGCUACACUGAACAGUUCAACAAGUCUUAACCUUGGCCGAUAGGUCUGGGUAAUCUUUGAACGCUAUUCGUGAUUGGGAUAGACCUUUGCAAUUAUGGGUCUUCAACGAGGAAUUCCUAGUAAACGCAAGUCAUCAGCUUGCAUUGAUUACGUCCCUGCCCUUUGUACACACCGCCCGUCGCACCUACCGAUUGAAUGGUCCGGUGAAAUCUCGGGACGGCGGCUUGGUCGCUUGCGUCCGACUGCUGAAACUUGAUUAAACCAUAUCAUUUAGAGGAAGGUGAANUCGUAACA
rnacentral:rRNA from 1 species